GAUGCUUCUGGAAGUGCAGAAAAGCAGAUUUUAUGAUAUAAAAUUAAAACUGUGGGACGCGUCUUUACGUAUAAAAGAGAGAUAACCCUGUCGCUGUUGCCUUCUCCUUGCACCACUUGUCGCCCCCACUCGCGCAAUCCCAACCUAGGCCGAUUCUUUCCCUUUCCUCCAAACAAACAAACGAACCCCAAAUCUUAGAGCCCCUCGAAACCCUCGUCUCUCUCUCAGAAAUCCCUCUAAACCUCCCAAACCCACUGCAAGAAAUGUCUAAGGUUCCCAUGGAUGUAGUCACCGAUAUCUUCCAUCGCCUUCCUGUCAAGACUCUCCUGCGUUUCAGGUCCCUUUCUAAACCCUACUUCUUUCUCAUAGACGACCCUGAUUUCACCAAUGCCCACCUCGAUCGUUCCAUCAAAACCAGAUCCAAUCUCAACAUCAUCCUCAAAGGUUUACAUCUCUAUUCCGUGGAAUUCGAUGCUCUGGAUAACGCCGUACCCAUCGACUAUCCUUUGAGUAGUGGAGCUGGGACUGAAGCCUUUGGUUCCUGUAAUGGAAUCCUUGCAUUCCGUCUCACCGAUAAAAACCUUGCCUUGUAUAAUCCCUCCACGAGGCAGUUCCGUCGACUGCCUGUUUCCGAGAUUGAGCCCCCUCCAGGUGAUUCUUGUAAAUCUGGGUAUAUCUUUUAUGGGUUCGGGCAGGAUGUUAAAACCAAUGAUUACAAAGUCGUAAGGAUGGUGCAGUUCAAUAAAAGUGACGAUGAAGAUGAUGAAGGUAUAUUUUACGACUACGAGGUUAAGGUUUAUAGUUUAAAGAAUGAUUCUUGGAGGAAAAUCACUAAGCUCCCUUGUUAUCUUAGGUUUAUGUUUCAAUUUUUCUACCAUCUAUUGCAUAGGCGAGGCUAUGGUGUGCUUGCUGGUGGGGUUUUACAUUGGGUGAUGCCUCCACGAAUUGAAUUGGGACCGAGGAAUAGGAUUGUGGGUUUUGAUCUUGGAAACGAGGAGUUCAUUGAAGUGCCUCAACCUGAAUAUGCCGAUAAGAACUAUCUGUUGGAUGUGGCAGCCCUGGAAGGGCGCCUAUGUGCUGUUUGUAAUUAUGACCAAGAGAAAAUUGAUGUUUGGACUAUGAAGGAAUAUGGAGUAAAACAAUCUUGGACUAAGUUGAUUUCCAUUCAAAGAACUAGAACCAUUACCACACUAACGUUUUUAAAGCCAUUAGCUUAUUCCAAGCAGCUUGAAAAGAUUUUGGUGGAGAUUAAUAGCCAAAAGUUUGGCUGGUAUGAUUUGCAAAAGAAGAAGAUGCGAAGUGUGAAGAUUGGUGGUAGUCCAGGUACAUUUGGUGCAGAGGUUUAUAUAGGAAGCCUCAUUCAGAUAGAAGACCCUAAAAGAUUGGAAAUUGAGAAGCAAAAUGAACAAGAUGAACUGAAAAACAGAAAUCGAAAGAACAGGGAUGAUUUCCUUUCGAAAGGAUUCAAAUUGGUCUUAUAAUCAAAAUCAAGAACAUAUACAAAAUAUGAGCAAAAUGGGAAGGAAGCUUAAUGGCUUAUAAAGGUACCGGCUCAGUUUCCUUUAUUUUUUUUAUUAAGGGGAAAGGGUAGGGUCUGUCCACGGAGUCGGAUCACUCGAACUCGGAUUGGUGUCUGCCCCUUGGUUGAGUAAACAAAAGUUAUUCCUUUGUUUAAAAUCCUCACUGAUGACCUCUUACACUCAUGGCGGAUCUCUUAAAGGGUUGACUUUGAAGGUCAAAUACAGUUGACUUAUGAACUGGGCUUACUACACUGCUUAGCUGACAAAGCUUGGAUACUUGUCUAACAUUAAAUCAUACUAUGUUUUCAAACCCCACAUCAACUUUCCUUUAAGAAGGGCAAGUUGGGUCCAUGUAUUAAUCUUGUGAGAAUGUUGAUAGCUUUUAUUAUGCGAGACAUUUAGGAAAUUUCAACAUCAUUUUGAUCUGUUAUUUAAUUCCUGCAUCUGAACUUGAUGGGUUUAUGUGUAAAGCCAGAGCAGAUUGAAAAAGAGUGCUAAUCUAAUCCAUUUCAACAGUUGAGAAAGUGACCUUUGCUUCAAGCACAACCAGAUGUCUUUUACCUCUUGCCUCUUGGGCUUAAACUCCGGAGUAUCAGUGAAUGACCAAGUUUGAUGUUUUUUGGAUUUAAAUGAUUGUGAUAUAUAAGCAUGUUUUGUUAUACUGAAUACUGGUAAUCAGUGCUAUAAAUCCGAAAAAUUUUGUAUUUUAAA